UAUGUGAUCGUCUCUCGCAUAUCAAUAAGCGGAGGAAAAGAAACUAACAAGGAUUCCCCUAGUAACGGCGAGUGAAGCGGGAAGAGCUCAAAUUUGAAAUCUUAAAGGGUUUCCCUUUACGAAUUGUAGUUUAAAGAAGUGUUUUCUGUUGAGGUUUUGGUAAAAGUUCUUUGGAAUAGGACAUCAUAGAGGGUGAGAAUCCCGUAUUUGACCUUUACUUUCAACUUUGUGAUACACUUCCAAAGAGUCGGAUUGUUUGGGAAUGCAGUCCAGAAUGGGUGGUAAAUUUCAUCUAAAGCUAAAUAUUGGCGAGAGACCGAUAGCGAACAAGUACCGUGAGGGAAAGAUGAAAAGAACUUUGAAAAGAGAGUUAAACAGUACGUGAAAUUGUCAAAAGGGAAGCGUUUGACACCAGUGUUGUUUUUCUGAAAAUCAAUUAAAGAACUGUUUAUGCUAAGUUGUUUAGACUUUAUCAGCUAAUCUGUUUAGUUUUGAGCUUUUCUUUAAUGCACUUUUCAGUUAACAAGUCAACAUCAAUUUCUUUUGCUGUAAAAAAGCUUGAGGAAGGUGGCUUGAGAUUCGUCUUAAGUGUUUAUAGCCUCUUGCCUAUGCAGUCGGAGAGAUUGAGGUCUGCAGCGUAGAUCCUUCGGGGCUAAUGCAUUUGUGCUAAGUUAUAAGCAUUUUAUAGACAACUUGUUGACUAUGAUUUGUCUUGUAGCUUACUCGCUUAUGUUAUUUUACCUACGCUUAGGAUGUUGAGUAGCGACAUACGCAC
rnacentral:rRNA from 1 species